GACGAACGCUGGCGGCGUGCCUAAUACAUGCAAGUGGGACGCAAGGAAACACACUGUGCUUGCACACCGUGUUUUCUUGAGUCGCGAACGGGUGAGUAACGCGUAGGUAACCUGCCUAUUAGCGGGGGAUAACUAUUGGAAACGAUAGCUAAUACCGCAUAAUAUUAAUUAUUGCAUGAUAAUUGAUUGAAAGAUGCAAGCGCAUCACUAGUAGAUGGACCUGCGUUGUAUUAGCUAGUUGGUAAGGUAAGAGCUUACCAAGGCGACGAUACAUAGCCGACCUGAGAGGGUGAUCGGCCACACUGGGACUGAGACACGGCCCAGACUCCUACGGGAGGCAGCAGUAGGGAAUCUUCGGCAAUGGACGAAAGUCUGACCGAGCAACGCCGCGGGAGUGAAGAAGGGUUUCGGAUCGUAAAGCUCUGUUGUAAGUCAAGAACGUGUGUGAGAGUGGAAAGUUCACACAGUGACGGUAGCUUACCAGAAAGGGACGGCUAACUACGUG
rnacentral:rRNA from 1 species